rnacentral:tRNA from 1 species
GCCCGGGUGGCGGAAUCGGCAGACGCGGCGGACUUAAAAUCCGCUGUCCGAAAGGACAUGUGAGUUCAAGUCUCACCCCGGGCACCA